rnacentral:rRNA from 1 species
AAACUGAAGAGUUUGAUCAUGGCUCAGAUUGAACGCUGGCGGCAGGCUUAACACAUGCAAGUCGAGCGGUAACAGGAGAAGCUUGCUUCUUGCUGACGAGCGGCGGACGGGUGAGUAAUACUUAGGAAUCUGCCCAGUAGUGGGGGAUAGCUCGGGGAAACUCGAAUUAAUACCGCAUACACCCUACGGGGAAAAGGGGGCGCUUGCGCUCUCGCUAUUGGAUGAGCCUAAGUCGGAUUAGCUAGUUGGUGGGGUAAAGGCCUACCAAGGCGACGAUCUGUAGCUGGUCUGAGAGGAUGAUCAGCCACACCGGGACUGAGACACGGCCCGGACUCCUACGGGAGGCAGCAGUGGGGAAUAUUGGACAAUGGGGGCAACCCUGAUCCAGCCAUGCCGCGUGUGUGAAGAAGGCCUUUUGGUUGUAAAGCACUUUAAGCAGUGAAGAAGACUCUAUGGUUAAUACCCAUAGACGAUGACAUUAGCUGCAGAAUAAGCACCGGCUAACUCUGUGCCAGCAGCCGCGGUAAUACAGAGGGUGCAAGCGUUAAUCGGAAUUACUGGGCGUAAAGCGAGCGUAGGUGGCUUAAUAAGUCAGAUGUGAAAUCCCCGGGCUUAACCUGGGAACUGCAUCUGAUACUGUUAGGCUAGAGUAGGUGAGAGGGAGGUAGAAUUUCAGGUGUAGCGGUGAAAUGCGUAGAGAUCUGAAGGAAUACCGAUGGCGAAGGCAGCCUCCUGGCAUCAUACUGACACUGAGGUUCGAAAGCGUGGGUAGCAAACAGGAUUAGAUACCCUGGUAGUCCACGCCGUAAACGAUGUCUACUAGUCGUUGGGGAACUUGAUUCCUUAGUGACGCAGCUAACGCAAUAAGUAGACCGCCUGGGGAGUACGGCCGCAAGGUUAAAACUCAAAUGAAUUGACGGGGGCCCGCACAAGCGGUGGAGCAUGUGGUUUAAUUCGAUGCAACGCGAAGAACCUUACCUGGUCUUGACAUAUCUAGAAUCCUGCAGAGAUGCGGGAGUGCCUUCGGGAAUUAGAAUACAGGUGCUGCAUGGCUGUCGUCAGCUCGUGUCGUGAGAUGUUGGGUUAAGUCCCGCAACGAGCGCAACCCUUUUCCUUAGUUACCAGCGGUUUGGCCGGGGACUCUAAGGAUACUGCCAGUGACAAACUGGAGGAAGGCGGGGACGACGUCAAGUCAUCAUGGCCCUUACGACCAGGGCUACACACGUGCUACAAUGGUAGGUACAGAGGGCUGCUACACAGCGAUGUGAUGCGAAUCUCAAAAAGCCUAUCGUAGUCCAGAUUGGAGUCUGCAACUCGACUCCAUGAAGUCGGAAUCGCUAGUAAUCGCGGAUCAGAAUGCCGCGGUGAAUACGUUCCCGGGCCUUGUACACACCGCCCGUCACACCAUGGGAGUUGAUUGCACCAGAAGUGGGUAGCCUAACUUUUAGAGGGCGCUCACCACGGUGUGGUCGAUGACUGGGGUGAAGUCGUAACAAGGUAGCCGUAGGGGAACCUGCGGCUGGAUCACCUCCUUA